rnacentral:rRNA from 1 species
CAGCCGCCGCGGUAAAACGGAGGGCGCGAGCGUUACCCGGAUUUACUGGGCGUAAAGGGCGUGUAGGCGGCCUGUGGCGUCCCAUGUGAAAGGCCACGGCUCAACCGUGGAGGAGCGUGGGAUACGCUCAGGCUAGAGGGUGGGAGAGGGUGGUGGAAUUCCCGGAGUAGCGGUGAAAUGCGCAGAUACCGGGAGGAACGCCGAUGGCGAAGGCAGCCACCUGGUCCACUUCUGACGCUGAGGCGCGAAAGCGUAGGGAGCAAACAGGAUUAGAUACCCCCGUAGUCCCUGUCUCUUAUAC